AACGAACGCUGGCGGCAGGCUUAACACAUGCAAGUCGAGCGCCCCGCAAGGGGAGCGGCAGACGGGUGAGUAACGCGUGGGAACGUGCCCUUUGGUUCGGAACAACUCCGGGAAACUGGAGCUAAUACCGGAUGAGCCCCUCGGGGGAAAGAUUUAUCGCCAAAGGAUCGGCCCGUGUCUGAUUAGCUAGUUGGUGAGGUAAUGGCUCACCAAGGCGACGAUCAGUAGCUGGUCUGAGAGGAUGAUCAGCGACACUGGGACUGAGACACGGGCCAGACUCCUACGGGAGGCAGCAGUGGGGAAUAUUGGACAAUGGGGGCAAGCCUGAUCCAGCCAUGCCGCGUGAGUGAUGAAGGCCUUAGGGUUGUAAAGCUCUUUUGUCCGGGAAGAUAAUGACUGUACCGGAAGAAUAAGCCCCGGCUAACUUCGUGCCAGCCGCCGCCGUAAUAC
rnacentral:rRNA from 1 species